rnacentral:pre_miRNA from 1 species
CAUGUACCAGUGGGGUCCCUUGGCCUGGCCUGCGACAUCCCCUGAGGGGCUGGAUUGCGAGGGCACAGGCCAGGCCAAGGGACCCCACUGGGGCACG